AACGAACGCUGGCGGCAUGCCUAACACAUGCAAGUCGAACGAGACCUUCGGGUCUAGUGGCGCACGGGUGCGUAACGCGUGGGAACCUGUCCUUAGGUUCGGAAUAACUCCCCGAAAGGGGUGCUAAUACCGGAUAAUGUCUUCGGACCAAAGAUUUAUCGCCUUUGGAUGGGCCCGCGUUGGAUUAGCUAGUUGGUAGGGUAAAAGCCUACCAAGGCGACGAUCCAUAGCUGGCCUGAGAGGAUGAUCAGCCACACUGGGACUGAGACACGGCCCAGACUCCUACGGGAGGCAGCAGUGGGGAAUAUUGGACAAUGGGCGAAAGCCUGAUCCAGCAAUGCCGCGUGAGUGAUGAAGGCCUUAGGGUUGUAAAGCUCUUUUACCCGGGAUGAUAAUGACAGUACCGGGAGAAUAAGCUCCGGCUAACUCCGUG
rnacentral:rRNA from 1 species